AUUGAACGCUGGCGGCAGGCCUAACACAUGCAAGUCGAGCGGAGCGGCGGACGGGUGCGUAAUACCUAGGAAUCUGCCUGGUAGUGGGGGAUAACGUUCGGAAACGGACGCUAAUACCGCAUCCUAUCAGAUGAGCCUAGGUCGGAUUAGCUAUUUGGUGAGGUAAUGGUUCACCAAGGCUACGAUCCGUAACUGGUCUGCGAGGAUGAUCAGUCACACUGGAGCUGAUACACGGUCCAGACUCCUACGGGAGGCAGCAGUGGGGAAUAUUGGACAAUGGGCGAAAGCCUGAUCCAGCCAUGCCGCGGGUAUGAAGAAGGUCUUCGGAUUGUAAAGCACUUUAAGUUGGGAGGCGUUACCGACAGAAUAAGCACCGGCUAACUCUGUGCCAGCAGCCGCGGUAAUUC
rnacentral:rRNA from 1 species